GCCGCCUUAGCUCAGUUGGUAGAGCGGGUCACUCGUAAUGAUCAGGCCGUUGGUUCGACUCCAAUAGGCGGCACCA
rnacentral:tRNA from 1 species